UCAAAGCGAUUAAGCGGUAUAAGAUGGACUCGCGUCCCAUUAGCUAGUUGGUGAGGUAAUAGCUCACCAAGGCGACGAUGGGUAGCCGGCCUGAGAGGGUGAACGGCCACACUGGAACUGAGACACGGUCCAGACUCCUACGGGAGGCAGCAGUGGGGAAUAUUGCACAAUGGAGGGAACUCUGAUGCAGCGACGCCGCGUGAGCGAUGAAGGUUUUCGGAUCGUAAAGUUCUGUCGCAGGGGAAGAUAAUGACGGUACCCUGUGAGGAAGCACCGGCUAACUAC
rnacentral:rRNA from 1 species